rnacentral:rRNA from 1 species
GAGUUUGAUCGUGGCUCAGGAUGAACGCUGGCGGCGUGCUUAACACAUGCAAGUCGAACGAAGCGCCUUAUUUGAUUUUCUUCGGAACUGAAGAUUUGGUGACUGAGUGGCGGACGGGUGAGUAACGCGUGGGUAACCUGCCCUGUACAGGGGGAGUAACAAUCAGAAAUAGACUGCUAAUAACCGCCAUAAGACCACAGCACCGCAUGGUGCAGGGGUAAAAACGUACCGGUGGUACAGGAUGGACCCGCGUCUGAUUAGCUGGUUGGUGAGGUAACGGCGUCACCAAGGCGACGAUCAGUAGCCGGCUUGAGAGAGUGAACGGCCGACAUUGGGACGUGAGGACACGGCCCGAAACCUACCUA